rnacentral:rRNA from 1 species
GAGUUUGAUCCUGGCUCAGGAUGAAUGCUGGCGGCAUGCCUAAGACAUGCAAGUCGAACGAAGUGGCCCAAGGAAGUAGAGUGCUUGCACGAAGCGGAAUUGGAUUCCCACUUAGUGGCAGACGGGUGAGUAACACGUGGGUAACCUACCGAAGAGACUGGGAUAACAGUUAGAAAUGACUGCUAAUACCGGAUGAAUCAUCUUUACGUAAGUAGAGAUGCUAAAAAGGAGCGAUUGCUUCACUUUUCGAUGGGCUUGCGUUGUAUUAGCUAGUUGGUGAGGUAAU